GGCUCUUUGUAUAUAAAAAAUAAGGAGUCUGGCCUGCCCGGUGAUGUGUUUAACGGCCGCAGUACCCUGACUGUGCGAAGGUAGCAUAAUCAUUUGCUCUAUAAUUGAGGGCUUGUAUGAAUGGUUUGACAAGAGCUUAACUGUCUCCUUUUGAUUAAUUAGAAUUUAAUUUUCAAGUGAAGAAGCUUGAAUUAGAUUAAAAGACAAGAAGACCCUAUUGAGCUUUAAAUGAUAUUUUGGUAAUAGUUAAUUGUGAAAUUUACAGUAAUUAGUUUUUGAUUGGGGCGAUUAAGGAACAUGAGUAGCUUCUUUGAUUAGAUGAUUUACCGAUAUUGAUCCACUAUUAGUGAUUAAAGGAAUAAGUUACCAUAGUAACAGCGUUAUUUUUCUUGAGAGUUCAUACAAUUAGAAUUGCGACCUCGAUGUUGGACUAAAGUAUCCUGAAGGUGCAGAAG
rnacentral:rRNA from 1 species